UACGGAGGGUGCAAGCGUUAAUCGGAAUUACUGGGCGUAAAGCUCGCGUAGGCGGUUUUUUAAGUCGGAUGUGAAAGCCCCGGGCUCAACCUGGGAACUGCAUCCGAUACUGGAAGACUAGAAUGCGGGAGAGGGAGGUAGAAUUCCAUGUGUAGCAGUGAAAUGCGUAGAUAUAUGGAGGAAUACCAGUGGCGAAGGCGGCCUCCUGGCUCGACAUUGACGCUGAGGUGCGAAAGCGUGGGGAGCAAACGGG
rnacentral:rRNA from 1 species